rnacentral:rRNA from 1 species
UACGAAGGGGGCUAGCGUUGCUCGGAAUGACUGGGCGUAAAGGGCUCGUAGGCGGACGGCUUAGUCGGGCGUGAAAGCCCUGGGCUUAACCUGGGGACUGCGUUUGAUACGGGUUGUCUUGAGUGGGGAAGAGGGUCGUGGAAUUCCCAGUGUAGAGGUGAAAUGCGUAGAUAUUGGGAAGAACACCGGUGGCGAAGGCGGCGACCUGGUCCUUGACUGACGCUGAGGCGCGAAAGCGUGGGGAGCAAACAGG